GAUGAACGCUGGCGGCGUGCCUAAUACAUGCAAGUCGAGCGAACGGACGAGAAGCUUGCUUCUCUGAUGUUAGCGGCGGACGGGUGAGUAACACGUGGAUAACCUACCUAUAAGACUGGGAUAACUUCGGGAAACCGGAGCUAAUACCGGAUAAUAUUUUGAACCGCAUGGUUCAAAAGUGAAAGACGGUCUUGCUUUCACUUAUAGAUGGAUCCGCGCUGCAUUAGCUAGUUGGUAAGGUAACGGCUUACCAAGGCAACGAUGCAUAGCCGACCUGAGAGGGUGAUCGGCCACACUGGAACUGAGACACGGUGCAGACUCCUACGGGAGGCAGCAGUAGGGAAUCUUCCGCAAUGGGCGAAAGCCUGACGGAGCAACGCCGCGUGAGUGAUGAAGGUCUUCGGAUCGUAAAACUCUGUUAUUAGGGAAGAACAUAUGUGUAAGUAACUGUGCACAUCUUGACGGUACCUAAUCAGAAAGCCACGGCUAACUACGUG
rnacentral:rRNA from 1 species